rnacentral:rRNA from 1 species
UACGUAGGGGGCUAGCGUUGUUCGGAUUUAUUGGGCGUAAAGAGCUCGUAGGCGGCUUGGCAAGUCGGGUGUGAAAACUCCAGGCUCAACCUGGAGAUGCCACUCGAGACUGCUAUGGCUAGAGUCCGGUAGGGGACCACGGAAUUCCUGGUGUAGCGGUGAAAUGCGCAGAUAUCAGGAGGAACACCGGUGGCGAAGGCGGUGGUCUGGGCCGGCACUGACGCUGGAGGAGCGAAAGCGUGGGAGCGAACAGG